rnacentral:rRNA from 1 species
GGGGAAUAUUGCACAAUGGGCGAAGGCCUGAUGCAGCAACGCCGCGUGAGCGAUGAAGGCCUUCGGGUCGUAAAGCUCUGUCCUCAAGGAAGAUAAUGACGGUACUUGAGGAGGAAGCCCCGGCUAACUACGUGCCAGUAGCCGCGGUAAUACGUAGGGGGCUAGCGUUAUCCGGAUUUACUGGGCGUAAAGGGUGCGUAGGCGGUCUUUUAAGUCAGGAGUGAAAGGCUACGGCUCAACCGUAGUAAGCUCUUGAAACUGGAGGACUUGAGUGCAGGAGAGGAGAGUGGAAUUCCUAGUGUAGCGGUGAAAUGCGUAGAUAUUAGGAGGAACACCAGUAGCGAAGGCGGCUCUCUGGACUGUAACUGACGCUGAGGCACGAAAGCGUGGGGAGCAAAC